rnacentral:rRNA from 1 species
UACGGAGGGUGCGAGCGUUGUCCGGAAUCACUGGGCGUAAAGGGCGCGUAGGCGGUUUGGUAAGUCACGUGUGAAAUCCCGGCGCUCAACGCCGGGGCUGCAUGUGAGACUGUCAGACUAGAGCUCGGUAGAGGCAAGUGGAAUUCCCGGUGUAGCGGUGGAAUGCGUAGAUAUCGGGAAGAACACCGGUGGCGAAGGCGGCUUGCUGGGCCGAUGCUGACGCUGAGGCGCGAAAGCGUGGGGAGCAAACAGG